UGGGGCGUCGCCAAGCGGUAAGGCACUGGGUUCUGGCCCCAGCAUCGGGGGUUCGAAUCCUCCCGCCCCAGCCA
rnacentral:tRNA from 1 species